UACGGAGGAUCCAAGCGUUAUCCGGAUUCAUUGGGUUUAAAGGGUGCGUAGGCGGAAUAGUAAGUCAGUGGUGAAAGCCUGUUGCUUAACAACAGAACUGCCAUUGAUACUGCUAAUCUUGAGUACAUUUGAAGUGGGCGGAAUGUGUCAUGUAGCGGUGAAAUGCUUAGAUAUGACACAGAACACCGAUUGCGAAGGCAGCUCACUAAACUGUUACUGACGCUGAGGCACGAAAGCGUGGGGAUCAAACAGG
rnacentral:rRNA from 1 species